GUGCACCAGGCGCGAAACCUCCGCAAUACACGAAAGUGUGACGGGCCAUCCCGAGUGCCGUCCGCUGAGGACGGCUUUUCCCCAGUGUACAUAGCUGGGGGAAUAAGGAGAGGGCAAGCCUGGUGUCAGCCGCCGCGGUAAUACCAGCUCUCCGAGUGGUGGGGACGCUUAUUGGGCCUAAAGCAUCCGUAGCCGGCUAGGCAAGUCCUCCGUUAAAUCCAACGAUUCAAUCGUUGGGCUGCGGGGGAUACUGUCCAGCUUGGGGGCGGGAGAGGCCGACGGUAUUCCCGGGGUAGGGGUGAAAUCCUAUAAUCCCGGGAGGACCACCAGUGGCGAAGGCUGUCGGCUAGAACGCGCCCGACGGUGAGGGAUGAAAGCUGGGGGAGCGAACCGGAUUAGAUACCCCGUAGU
rnacentral:rRNA from 1 species